GCUUUUAUGGUGGAAUGGUAGACACGAAGGUUUCAAAAACCUUUGCUUAUAAAGCAUACAAGUUCAAGUCUUGUUAAAAGUA
rnacentral:tRNA from 1 species